CUUUCGGGCGUGAGAGACCGGUGCACGGGUGCGUAACGCGUAUAGAACCUACCUUUUACAGAGGGAUAGCCCAGAGAAAUUUGGAUUAAUACCUCAUAAUAUUGUUGAAUGGCAUCNNNUGANNNNNAAAGUUNNNNCGGUNNNNGAUGGCUAUGCGUCCUAUUAGUUAGUUGGUGAGGUAACGGCUCACCAAGACAUCGAUAGGUAGGGGUCCUGAGAGGGAGAUCCCCCACACUGGUACUGAGACACGGACCAGACUCCUACGGGAGGCAGCAGUGAGGAAUAUUGGACAAUGGGCGCAAGCCUGAUCCAGCCAUGCCGCGUGCAGGAAGACGGCCCUAUGGGUUGUAAACUGCUUUUAUACAGGAAGAAACACUCCCUCGUGAGGGAACUUGACGGUACUGUAUGAAUAAGCACCGGCUAACUCCGUGCCAGCAGCCGCGGUAAUACGGAGGGUACAAGCGUUAUCCGGAAUCAUUGGGUUUAAAGGGUCCGUAGGCGGAUAAUUAAGUCAGAGGUGAAAUCCCACAGCUUAACUGUGGAACUGCCUUUGAUACUGGUUAUCUUGAGUUACAUUGAAGUAGAUAGAAUGUGUAGUGUAGCGGUGAAAUGCUUAGAUAUUACACAGAAUACCGAUUGCGAAGGCAGUUUACUAAAUGUACACUGACGC
rnacentral:rRNA from 1 species